rnacentral:ncRNA from 1 species
AUUAUUUGCACCCUGUAAGGUGCUGCUUUUCCCAGCCUUGGGAGAGGCGGAGAAUUGGGAAGCUGGUGCAAAUCCGGCGCUGCCCCCGCAACGGUAACGAAGGGAAGGUCGCAACCAAACGCCACUGAGAGAGGACCUCGGGAAGGCGUUGCGAUCAUGCCGAAAGGCACCUUCCAAGCCCGGAAACCAGCCUUGCAGAACGUCAAUCC